rnacentral:lncRNA from 1 species
GAAGCCAGGCCAAGAAGAAUCCCAGGACUGGAAGGCCUUGUGGGACGUCCCAGGUUUGUCUUGUGUCAAUAGCACUGAUACUCAAUCUCCUACUCCCAUCUGUGAGCAUGCAGACCCUACUUGCCUUCCCACAGCCUCCCUUUUCAUAUUUUUCAUGUUUCUUUAGCUCUGUCUUCAAGCCUUGUUGCUCCCGCAAAAAAACCUGCCUCUUCCUCCAGUCCUCCCAAGCAGGGGGAACAGUCCUGACACCUUUCCAAGCCCUGGUCCAUGGACAUUGUGCCCCCUUCUCCCUGCCCAUGGUGACCUGCUCCAAAACCCUCAAGGAGAAGGGAGUGUAUGUCAUUUCCUCCCUGUAAAGUAAAGAUAAUUUUGCAGGGGACUGUGUGGAUGAAAUGACAUGAUGCAUGGAAAUCCCUUAGCGUGUGCCUGGCAUGUAAACUGCAGGUGUCAUCAUUAUUACUGAGGAAUACUGAGUCCCGAACAUGGCUGUCUCAUUGGUGGACUGGGGUCUCCCCCAGGGCAUUCAUCUACUAUGUGUUUAUUGCACCCUUUUUCCAUGUGAGGCACAUGCCAGGGACUGGGCACAUGGUAUGAACAAGACACAGGUCAUCGGUGUCCUCUUGAGCUCCCUGGCUUGGCAGCAGAUGCAUACCUGGGAAGGAUGCUAGGUCAUCCGGGAACUCUACCUCCUUCAAAUCCCUAAGGACUGUGCUCCCAAUCCGCUUACGCUCAAGGAAGAACUGCCUGGAAGCCCUCCCUGGUACCAUACCCCAGCCGAUGAGUAUGUACCCCCAGAAGUACUUCCGCUCAGAGAAGAAGGAGACGGCAAGCAGGGUGUACAGGAAGGCCCAGAACCAGCCUGCUGUCAGGAUCAGAACAAAAGAGGAGGACUGCAUAUGUCCCUUCCCGUGGAUAUAAUUCUUCCCAGGCCUGUUGUGUGAGUUGGUGAUGCCAUCAUUCCUGCCUCACACUUGCAAACUUCCCUCUUUGGAAUUUCAGAGACCAGGCCCACAGAGUAUGGCUGUGCAAGUUGUUCACUCUACAAGGGCACCUGGCCGGGCUCUCUGGUGGAGCCUCUGUCUCACAGGUCACCUGCAGGCCAACACUCCCAGAAGCAGCUAGCACCAUGGUUGACCUCGUCCAGGUCCAGGGAAGGCCUCCCUCUCCAGGACUCCUUUAGAUUUCCCCAGCAUCCAGACCUCACCUGCCUAAGUGCUGUUGCCCUGGAAGCCACAGUGAGCACGAGCUCCAUCUUGCACCUUUACCAGCCAAUGGGGGUAAAGACAUUAGCUGAAAUACUUCUAAGGGGCCAGGCGUGGUGACUCAUGCUUGUAAUUCCAAGCACUUUGGGAGGCUGAGGCAGGUGGAUCACCUGAAGCCAGGAGUUCAAGAGCAGCCUGGCCAACAUGGCGAAACCCUGUCUCUACUAAAAAUACAAAAUUUAGCCAGGCAUGGUGGCGGGAGCCUGUAAUCUCAGCUCCUAGGGAGGCUGAGCCAGAAGAAUCGCUUAAACCUGGAAGCUGGAGGUUGCAGUGAGCCAAGAUCACACCACCACACUCCAGCCUGGGUGACAGAGCAAGACUCCAUCUCAAAAAGAAAAAAAAGAAAAAAAGGAAAUACUUCUAAGUUAUGUGAGAGAGUACAUACUGACAUUUUCAAUGGGUACAAUAA